CGAACUGUAAUAUUAUUUGUGUACAUUUAUAACCAAAUCGUUUUUUUUAUUUUCAGACGAUCAUUUCAACACAGAAAAGUAAUUGGAAGUCCAACAGGGGAACCACCAGAGGCGAAUCCUAAUGUGAGCAACUGGGAAGAUCCUGUGCCACAACACACUCCUGAGAGACCAAACACCCUUGAGAGGACAAACACUCCUGAAAAACCGACCCCUGAUGGUACUGAUAUAGAUCCUGACUGUUGUCUACACGAUAGUCCACAUUUUCGGGCUAUUCCAGGGUCACGAAAGUAUGUGGCUAACCACAAAAGAAAUAAGUACAGAGAAGGUAAACCAUCAGAGGAAACCUGGUACUCGAGAGACAAUUUAAAAGAAAGUUUCGCUAAACAAGCAUUCCACAGUUUUAAUUGUUUUACACGACGAAACCUACCACUAGAGCCAGAAACAAAUGAAGAACCGGAAAUAACUGCCGAAACAUCAUCUCUUAUUCGUCGAAGAAAACAAGAGUAAGUAUUCACAUAACCUGUUUUCUCUAUUUCUACAUAGUAAAAUUGUCAACUUGAUCACCAUCCAGCAGCAGAUCCUCUCCAAAUUUUCUGAAUGGAAAGCCUCUCCUAACAUGUUCGUUGGGAACUGCAUGUCAUUCAAUAGACUUCAUGAAAUAUGACAAGGACCACUAGCCGUGGCCACUUAUUCUCCUUCAGAGGUGCUCUGAAAUGUGACAUCGAGAUCAGAGGAAGGGAGGACGAGAUGGGACUAGUUGAGGGGGAACAGAUCUGGACCCCUGGAGUGGGCCAUGAUCAUAAUGAACAGUCUCUUUUAAAAAUCAAAAUACCAAAAAAAAAAAAAAAAAAAAAAAAAAAAAAAAACAUUUCAAUUACUAAAAAAGUGGUUCCUACUUAGAGAACUCUGAUUUUCUGCAUGGUUACCAUAUUGCUUUAAAAAGUCGAUAAAAUCCUUGAGAUGACAGUUGCUAUUGUAUUCCCAGCAUUGACAGAGGCAUGUAAGGGAAACACAAAUUAUUUUGAUACAAAAAUUAAUUACUAGGCCUUGAAGUACUAUUCGAUGAGCGUACUUAAACUGUAAAAAAAUAUGUUUCACGCAAACCCUAUGCAUAUGGUUCCUUUUAGUAUUUAUACGUCCAAAUGUGAGUUCUGACUCCGAAAAUGAGGGCUCGGACAGAUUUCCUUGAUGCUUAAAAAGUAAUGUCGAAUCCAUUGAGAAUGCGUUCACUAAAAAAAUUAAUUAUUCACAGAACGGAAGGUGGAGGCUCAACCUCAAAUAGUUCUUGAGCGAAAAUUUCAAUAGCUUUUGACUGCAACAUCUCUCGACUCUUCACAUGAAAUGAAAAGUACACAAUUUUCCUUAACAACACUCCGUUUCGACUUCACUUUCAGUAAGAGAUGCCAAAAUCGUAAAACACCCUGGUAAAAAUGAUCAGUUGAGCAUGUAUCAGUAUGUCAAUGGCGUUUUGGCGCGGAGCAUCAGUAGACAUCAAUAGAGAUCGGGUCAGUUGAAAGUAUCAACUGAUCUUAACUGAUAUCAGUUGGAAGUAUCAACAGAUCUGAAAUGAUACUUGGUAUCAGUUGGUACCAUGCACCAACUGAUACGACAUAAUUUAAAAACGCAUUAUUUGUUUGUGUAAUUUAACGUAUUUUUUCAGUUUCUCACGUUUACCUCACGAAGUGACGACCAGAGAGCGCUGCGGGGAAUUACCGUUCUCGUAUUUCUGACACGAGACUUAGCAGGCCGCGCUCAUUCCCAAACGGUCUCCCAUCUAAGUACUAACUACGCUCGGCGUUGCUUAACCUCGGUGAUCGUCCAAGAGACAGAGCCACUACUCCAUCUGCGCAUGCGAUCAAACUAGACGUAUUUUCGCCAUUUCAGGGCCACUAGAAUCAUUUUGACAGAAAGUGAUGAUUUUGUGUUGAAUUUGAAUCUACACUCAAUUUUUUCAUUUUAUUUUUUAAUCACUUAAAAUAUACGUGAAGUUUCACAAGUUAUGUUUCCUGAAAGAUGAGACUGAGAAACACAAAAUGCAAAACCAAAAAUUAUAAUUAAAGAUGUAAAAAAAAAGAUGAAAUUAUGAAACAUUAGUAAUCAACUUAUAAGAAAUUGAAAAUAAUCAUGAAAAAAAUUUGAAAACAAAUAAUUAAAUCUUUACUGCGGGAGGGUUACAAAAAUUUCAUCUAACAUUUAUAUGAAUUUAAUGUGAAAAAAAUAAUUCAUCAAAGUAAUUAUAUGUGUUUUCGUCACAUUCUUUUCAUGUAAUUUUUAAGUGUAAAUUAUGGAAAAAAAUAUUUUCGAGUGGUGAGCGUUGAAGAAAUUAAUGUUUUUAUAUGAAU
rnacentral:lncRNA from 1 species